GCUAUUUCUUGUCAUUCAUUCUCUGUUUUGAAUCCUUGUUUCUUUUUCAGGAAAAGGAUUGUUUUGAGGAAAUGGACAUGGAUUCCUGUGAGGCAGAGAGGCCUCCGUUGGACACCAGAGAGAGGCCACCGGGAGACAGAAUGAUGCCAGCAAGACCUCCUGAUCCGUCUUUUCAUGGGGGCAGAAGGGAAGCAGCGGCUGUGGAACCAGAUCAGGGCCCAGUGUGCUUUGAAGAUGUCGCUGUUUGUUU